ACUGCCGGUGACAAACCGGAGGAAAGUGGGGAUGACGUCAAGUCCUCAUGGCCCUUAUAGGUGGGGCUACACACGUCAUACAAUGGCCGGUACAGAGGUAGCCAACCCGCGAGGGGGAGCCAAUCCCACAAAGCCGGUCGUAGUCCGGAUCGCAGUCUGCAACUCGACUGCGUGAAGUCGGAAUCGCUAGUAAUCGCGGAUCAGCAUGUCGCGGUGAAUACGUUCCCGGGUCUU
rnacentral:rRNA from 1 species